rnacentral:rRNA from 1 species
GUUUGAUCCUGGCCAGGAUGAACGCUAGCGGCAGGCUUAACACAUGCAAGUCGAGGGGUAUAUGUCUUCGGAUAUAGAGACCGGCGCACGGGUGCGUAACGCGUAUGCAAUCUACCUUUUACAGGGGGAUAGCCCAGAGAAAUUUGGAUUAAUACCCCAUAGUAUACAGAGUUGGCAUCAGCCUUGUAUUAAAGUCACAACGGUAAAAGAUGAGCAUGCGUCCCAUUAGCUAGUUGGUAAGGUAACGGCUUACCAAGGCUACGAUGGGUAGGGGUCCUGAGAGGGAGAUCCCCCACACUGGUACUGAGACACGGACCAGACUCCUACGGGAGGCAGCAGUGAGGAAUAUUGGACAAUGGGCGCAAGCCUGAUCCAGCCAUGCCGCGUGCAGGAUGACGGUCCUAUGGAUUGUAAACUGCUUUUGUACGAGAAGAAACACUGCUUGGUGAAGCAGCUUGACGGUAUCGUAAGAAUAAGGAUCGGCGGACUCCGUGCCAGCAGCGCGGUAC